UAUGGCUCAGGAUGAACGCUAGCGGCAGGCUAACACAUGCAAGUCGAGGGGCAACGCGAGUAGCAAUACUUGGCGGCGACCGGCGCAAGGGUGCGUAACGCGUGAGCAACAUGCCCGUAUCAGGGGGAUAAUCCAGGGAAACUUGGUCUAAUACCCCAUAGUAAUUUUGUAAGGCAUCUUAUAAGGUUUAAAGCUUUGGUGGAUACGGAUUGGCUCGCGUGACAUUAGCUGGAUGGUAAGGUAACGGCUUACCAUGGCUAUGAUGUCUAGGGGUUCUGAGAGGAAGGUCCCCCACACUGGAACUGAGACACGGUCCAGACUCCUACGGGAGGCAGCAGUGAGGAAUAUUGGACAAUGGAUGGAAAUCUGAUCCAGCCAUGCCGCGUGAAGGAAGAAGGUCCUAUGGAUUGUAAACUUCUUUUGUAUGGGAGCAAUAAGGCCUACGAGUAGGUUGAUGAGAGUACCAUACGAAUAAGCACCGGCUAACUCCGUGCCAGCCGCUGC
rnacentral:rRNA from 1 species